UUUUAAUGAGAGUUUGAUCCUGGCUCAGGAUGAACGCUGGCGGCGUGCCUAAUACAUGCAAGUAGAACGCUGAAGCUUGGUGCU
rnacentral:rRNA from 1 species